CCUACGGGGGGCAGCAGUGGGGAAUAUUGGACAAUGGGCGAAAGCCUGAUCCAGCCAUGCCGCGUGUGUGAAGAAGGCCUUCGGGUUGUAAAGCACUUUCAGUGGGGAAGAAAGCCUUGGGGCUAAUACCCUCGAGGAAGGACAUCACCCACAGAAGAAGCACCGGCUAACUCCGUGCCAGCAGCCGCGGUAAUACGGAGGGUGCGAGCGUUAAUCGGAAUUACUGGGCGUAAAGCGCGCGUAGGCGGUCUGAUAAGCCGGUUGUGAAAGCCCCGGGCUCAACCUGGGAACGGCAUCCGGAACUGUCAGGCUAGAGUGCAGGAGAGGAAGGUAGAAUUCCCGGUGUAGCGGUGAAAUGCGUAGAGAUCGGGAGGAAUACCAGUGGCGAAGGCGGCCUUCUGGACUGACACUGACGCUGAGGUGCGAAAGCGUGGGUAGCAAACAGGAUUAAUACCCUGGUAGUC
rnacentral:rRNA from 1 species